rnacentral:rRNA from 1 species
GACGAACGCUGGCGGCGUGCCUAACACAUGCAAGUCGAGCGAGUGGAGUUCUUCGGAACAAAGCUAGCGGCGGACGGGUGAGUAACACGUGGGCAACCUGCCUCAUAGAGGGGAAUAGCCUCCCGAAAGGGAGAUUAAUACCGCAUAAGAUUGUAGCUUCGCAUGAAGUAGCAAUUAAAGGAGCAAUCCGCUAUGAGAUGGGCCCGCGGCGCAUUAGCUAGUUGGUGAGGUAACGGCUCACCAAGGCGACGAUGCGUAGCCGACCUGAGAGGGUGAUCUGCCACAUUGGGACUGAGACACCGCCCAGACUCCGACGGGAGGCAGCAGUGGGGAAUAUUGCACAAUGGGGGAAACCCUGAUGCGGCAACGCCGCGUGAGUGAUGACGGCCUUCGGGUUGUAAAACUCUGUCUUCAGGGACGAUAAUGACGGUACCUGAGGAGGAAGCCACGGCUAACUACGUGCCAGCCGCCGCGGUAAAAC